rnacentral:rRNA from 1 species
CCUACGGGAGGCAGCAGUGGGGAAUAUUGGGCAAUGGGCGCAAGCCUGACCCAGCAACGCCGCGUGAAGGAAGAAGGCUUUCGGGUUGUAAACUUCUUUUCUCAGGGACGAAGAAAGUGACGGUACCUGAGGAAUAAGCCACGGCUAACUACGUGCCAGCAGCCGCGGUAAUACGUAGGUGGCAAGCGUUAUCCGGAUUUAUUGGGUGUAAAGGGCGUGUAGGCGGGAGCGCAAGUCAGAUGUGAAAACGCAGGGCUCAACCCUGGGCCUGCAUUUGAAACUGUGUUUCUUGAGUGCUGGGGAGGCAAUCGGAAUUCCGUGGGUAGCGGUGAAAUGCGUAGAUAAACGGAGGAACACCAGUGGCGAAGGCGGAUUGCUGGACAGUAACUGACGCUGAGGCGCGAAAGCGGGGGGAGCAAACAGGAUUAGAUACCCUAGGAGGC